rnacentral:rRNA from 1 species
UACAGAGACUGCAAGCGUUAUUCGGAUUCACUGGGCGUAAAGGGUGCGCAGGCGGUCGGGUGUGUCAGAUGUGAAAUCCCGAGGCUCAACCUCGGAACUGCGUCUGAAACUACUCGACUAGAGUACUGGAGAGGGUAACGGAAUUCACGGUGUAGCAGUGAAAUGCGUAGAUAUCGUAAGGAAGGCCGGUGGCGAAAGCGAGCCUCUGGACAGUUACUGACGCUGAUGCACGAAGGCCAGGGGAGCAACGGG